rnacentral:rRNA from 1 species
GACGAACCGUGCGAACGUUGUUCGGAUUCACUGGGCUUAAAGCGCACGUAGGCGGCUUCUAAGUCAGGGUGAAAUCCUGGAGCUCAACUCCAGAACUGCCUUUGAUACUGGAGAGCUUGAGUCCGGAAGAGGUGAGUGGAACUCCGAGUGUAGAGGUAAAGUUCGUAGAUAUUCGGAAGAACACCAGUGGCGAAGGCGGCUCACUGGUCCGGUACUGACGCUGACGGUGACGAAAGACGUGGGGAGCAAACAGGG